CCGACCUUAGCUCAGUUGGUAGAGCGGAGGACCGUAGUUGGUAAAGUGCUAGAUAGCAAUCCUUAGGUCGCUGGUUCGAAUCCGGCAGGUCGGA
rnacentral:tRNA from 2 species